CACAACCUUAGCUUAAUGAAGCAGUUUUUGUGUAUACGCCAUGCCUCUAAAUCUUCACUGCCAUUUAGGAGUUAAAUUACUUUUGUUUCUGUUAAUGCAGCUCUGGUGACACCUCCCCUGGCUGUGACUGACACAGUCUGCAUGAAACAAAGUGGUUUCAUUUUAAUCAGGCAUAACUUAUUUUAAAAGUUUUUAUCUCCUGGUCUGAAAAUGUAACUUUUAAUUGCAUACAGGAGGCUCCUGCAGG